rnacentral:rRNA from 1 species
GACGAACGCUGGCGGCGCGCCUAACACAUGCAAGUCGAACGAGCGAGAGAGAGCUUGCUUUCUCGAGCGAGUGGCGAACGGGUGAGUAACGCGUGAGGAACCUGCCUCAAAGAGGGGGACAACAGUUGGAAACGACUGCUAAUACCGCAUAAGCCCACGGCUCGGCAUCGAGCAGAGGGAAAAGGAGCAAUCCGCUUUGAGAUGGCCUCGCGUCCGAUUAGCUAGUUGGUGAGGUAACGGCCCACCAAGGCAACGAUCGGUAGCCGGACUGAGAGGUUGAACGGCCACAUUGGGACUGAGACACGGCCCAGACUCCUACGGGAGGCAGCAGUGGGGAAUAUUGCACAAUGGGGGAAACCCUGAUGCAGCGACGCCGCGUGGAGGAAGAAGGUCUUCGGAUUGUAAACUCCUGUUGUUGAGGAAGAUAAUGACGGUACUCAACAAGGAAGUGACGGCUAACUACGUGCCAGCAGUCGCGGUAAAACGUAGGUCACAAGCGUUGUCCGGAAUUACUGGGUGUAAAGGGAGCGCAGGCGGGAGAACAAGUUGGAAGUGAAAUCCAUGGGCUCAACCCAUGAACUGCUUUCAAAACUGUUUUUCUUGAGUAGUGCAGAGGUAGGCGGAAUUCCCGGUGUAGCGGUGGAAUGCGUAGAUAUCGGGAGGAACACCAGUGGCGAAGGCGGCCUACUGGGCACCAACUGACGCUGAGGCUCGAAAGUGUGGGUAGCAAACAGGAUUAGAUACCCUGGUAGUCCACACCGUAAACGAUGAUUACUAGGUGUUGGAGGAUUGACCCCUUCAGUGCCGCAGUUAACACAAUAAGUAAUCCACCUGGGGAGUACGACCGCAAGGUUGAAACUCAAAGGAAUUGACGGGGGCCCGCACAAGCAGUGGAGUAUGUGGUUUAAUUCGACGCAACGCGAAGAACCUUACCAAGUCUUGACAUCCCUUGACGAUGCUGGAAACAGUAUUUCUCUUCGGAGCAAGGAGACAGGUGGUGCAUGGUUGUCGUCAGCUCGUGUCGUGAGAUGUUGGGUUAAGUCCCGCAACGAGCGCAACCCUUAUGGUCAGUUACUACGCAAGAGGACUCUGGCCAGACUGCCGUUGACAAAACGGAGGAAGGUGGGGAUGACGUCAAAUCAUCAUGCCCUUUAUGACUUGGGCUACACACGUACUACAAUGGCGUUAAACAAAGAGAAGCAAGACCGCGAGGUGGAGCAAAACUCAGAAACAACGUCCCAGUUCGGACUGCAGGCUGCAACUCGCCUGCACGAAGUCGGAAUUGCUAGUAAUCGUGGAUCAGCAUGCCACGGUGAAUACGUUCCCGGGCCU